CCAGCACUAUCAGCAGCAGGAGCAGCAGCAACCCCUCAACACCAACAUUGUACCCAUCAGCUUUGAGCACCCACCCUGUAAACGUCUCUGCACGGCCCUGCCUGGACCCCACAGUUACAGCUGGAUACCGAGUGCCGCCUGGUGUCUGAGUAGACACAGCCAGGUUCAUAAUGGAUAUGAGGAAGUUUUUUCAAAAACAGGAGCCACAUUCAGUCCAAAGAGGGAGAGAGGAAAGAGGGGGAGAGGAAAGAGGGGAACAUGAGAAGUACAAGAGUACUAUAAAGUACAAGAUCAGGAAGAAGCAGCAUGUCUUUAUUCUGUCCUUCCUUCCUCAUUGUGAUGAGUAAAGUUUACCUUCCUGGAUGGGCAGCUCUCUGGGUGCUCAGCACCCCCAAACUUCUGAUCCUGGAAUCGCCCCUGGUCACCACCCAUCUUGAGGAGUUUUCCCCCUCACAUAUACUAAUGUGCCACAAACAGGACUUUAAUAUCACCAACCAUUCCCAUUUUAUUACGGUGUAUCCAUAUAAAUGGCCCACCCUGUAGAAAAGAAGUUAACCUCCUUGCCAUGAACAAGAAGACACUCACAGGUGAAAAAAAGAGAAAUGAAAGGCAGCACAGCCAAAGAGCUGAUAAAUAUAAAAGCCUCUAAUUAAACCCAAAUAACUGGGUGGAUAUUUUUAUCCACUCACUAUAGUUAACUGGAACUAAACUGAAAACUAAAACUAGCUGUGAAAAAGAAAUCUUUGUUUAACUUGAACUUGAAAAACUAAACUAAUAUAAAAUAAAAAUAAUUAUGUAGAAAAUAAACUAAAUUGAAUUUAAGGCAAAAAAACAAACAAACAAAGUAGAAAUUACAGAAUAAGAAUCACUGUACACGACACCAUGAUGUUGCAGUACUAUGUUGUAAGUUAUGAGUCAUGGAUGCAAUGUGAACGUUCAUUUAGAAUAAACUUUAUUGGCAAAACAUGCGAACAAAAUAACAGAAUCAUAUUUAUAACUGUAUAUUCUCUAUAUUAUCAUACACUAUAUGUCAGCCAUACAACAUAAGAACAAAGCUUAACAGAAUCAAAUAUAUUAUAUCAACAUCUUCGUUUCCCAAACCAAUAAUUAACCUCACAGGGCUUCAUAAUCUUUACAGCAAACAACAUCCUCUGUUGUCAGAUCCUUAAAAUUAAUCAA